GAUGAACGCUGGCGGCGUGCCUAAGACAUGCAAGUCGAGUGGGUUUAGGCCCACGGCGAACGGGUGAGUAAUACCUAGGAACGUAUCUUUAGUUGAGCAUAUGCCACCGAAAGGUGGUGCAAUUCUCAAUGUGGCAGCAAUGCUAAAGUCGUAAGACGCUAAAGAAGCGGCCUGGGCACCAUCAGCUAGUUGGUAAGGUAAAGGCUUACCAAGGCUAUGACGGUUAGGGGCCCCGAGAGGGGAAACCUCCACACUGGAACUGCGACACGGUCCAGACUCCUACGGGAGGCAGCAGUUUGGGAUUUUGGACAAUGGGCGAAAGCCUGAUCCAGCGACGCCGCGUGGACGAUGAAGGCCUCGG
rnacentral:rRNA from 1 species